rnacentral:rRNA from 1 species
UACGGAGGGUGCAAGCGUUGCUCGGAAUUACUGGGCGUAAAGCGUACGCAGGCUGUUCGUUAAGUCGGGUGUGAAAUCCCGGGGCUCAACCCCGGAAUUGCGCCCGAAACUGACGAGCUUGAGUGCGGGAGAGGGAAGCGGAAUUCCUGGUGUAGAGGUGAAAUUCGUAGAUAUCAGGAGGAACACCGGUGGCGAAAGCGGCUUCCUGGCCCGACACUGACGCUCAUGUACGAAAGCGUGGGGAGCAAACAGGAUUAGAUACCCUGGUAGUCCACGCCGUAAACGAUGAGUGCUAGCUGCUGGGAAUGUCUACCGUCUCAGUGGCGAAGCUAACGCAUUAAGCACUCCGCCUGGGAAGUACGGCCGCAAGGCUAAA